CUUCACUCUCACGCGUGUCUAUCAGCUUGGCUUCUUUCCCUCGCCCCGCCGCCUUCACACCCCACGUCUCUGAUCCCGUACCGUCGAAUCUCCCAGGGUUCCGAACGGAUUUGAGGGAGCGCGAGCGGUGUUGUGUGGCCUCAGUUCAUACCUUGUUGUUGAUGAGGAUUCGUGAUUUCGUGGUGGUGUUGGAUUGAUGCCGCUCGGGAAGAUUGAUCAGGGAGGAGAAUAGGCUCACAUUACUUUGGAGUUUAUUGACACCUGCUAGAUUCAAUCUGAUGGGAGCUGAGCAUCCUUCAAUGACCAGAUAACCAUGGUAACAUAGGACGCAAAAUUUACUUCCUUGGAGAUUUUCGAGCGGCCUUAUUCCACUCAAUGAACUUUUUAUUUCGAUAUCCCAAAGAUUAUUAGAGGUGGGCGACGGCGAACGACCAAAAGGACGACGAAAGUAGGGGGAGAAGGGGGAAAACGUUCCUUCUUUUUAAGUAGUAGAGAU